ensembl:lncRNA
CGUGGAUAUAAGCAAUUCUCACAAACCCCAGAGAUUUCUUUUCACUCUUAUAAACCAAUUACCAAUUUAGUUAGACCUGGGUGUCUCUGUCCAUGUCUGGCUGACCUUGGCAGUAUAUGUUUGUAGAACUGGUCAGCUUAAUAAACCUCUGCAUCAUGCCUGCUCCAGAUGUGGCUGAUAUUGCUACAGUUGUUCUGUCCCUUGAGAGUUGAUAUUGUGAUUUUUACCAUUUUGCAUGUUUGUAAAUUACCUGUUUUGUAUACGCAUUUCUGUGUUUCUCAAUGUAAUUUCUCAUCUGAAAAUUGGAUUGGAGUGCAAUGAUUCCUUGAAUGUAUUAUAAUUUACAAGCUAAUUUGAGUGCAAGGUUCAGAACGCAUUUUGUUAAUAUUUAAGCAAUGUUGCAUUUUGGAAUGCCGUAUUGAAAAUGUACAAGGAUUAAUUGAAUCUCCUAAACAGAUUUUCGAGUUGAGCACAAUCGUAUAGCCUACAAAAGAUAUCUGAGGUGGAUGACAGAAUAAUUAUUUCCCAGUUCAAUAAAAACCCCUUCUUGGCCAGAUCAGUAAACCCUCAGCGACUUAAAAGAAAGAUGGGAAGGGAGGAGUAAUGAGAAGGUGAGCAUCUGCUUAUGAGCCAAAGCAUACCACCUCUUCUGUGAAGCAUGGUGGAUGAAGUGUUGUGGCACCUGUUCUGUGAAGUGUGGUGGAGGAAGUGUUAUGGCACCUGUUCUGUGAAGCAUGGUGGAGGAAGUGUUAUGGCACCUGUUCUGUGAAGUGUGGUGGAGGAAGUGUUGUGGCACCUGUUCUGUGAAGUGUGGUGGAGGAAGUGUUAUGGCACCUGUUCUGUUAAUCAUGGUGGAGGAAGUGUUGUGGAACGUUCAAAAGUUCGAAUUUACAGUUCUCUAUAUAGGAGCAGUAGAAAAGGGUAUGUUAUUCUUAGAGGAAUUAGAUAACAAGUGCAGUAUGCAAUGAACAAACAAAAGUUGUAAGAUAACAAGUGCAAUAUGCAAUGAACAACCAAAAGUUGUAAUCUGCUAAAGCCAAGGAAAUUCACUCACGGCGACGUUAAGCCAAAAAUUCACUCACGGCGACGUACAGCAUAAAAGAUUCACUCACGGCGACGUUAAAUGGGAGCAAGUUGGCGGUAGGUCGCUUAUCUACAUCUCCGUGGCAGAAUCCACCCCCCAUAAUCUACAUCUCCGUGGCAGAAUCCACCCCCCAUAAAUAAAGUCCCUUUUCACCUGCCAUAGUACAAUAUGUUGUCCAAAAUGCAUUAUGUUACACAGGUAAAGUUGUUGUAGUUUUUCCUCACUCCCUCUUCUGUAAUAAAGCAUGUACUGGAGCUGGAGGCCAGGGAACCGCUGCACACAUUCAUAUACCUUGAUGAGGCGGGUUUCAAUUUGGCAAAAGGUAGAAGACGUGGUAAGGAAUCGGAUUGGACAGAGAGCAACCAUUGAUGUCCCAGGCCAACGAGGAGGGAAUAUUACUAUGUGUGCCCCCAUCUCAGAAAACGGCAUCCUCACCCAUAUCCCCUGUCUUGGUCCAUACAACACACAACAUCUGCUGACUUUUUUAGACACUCUUUACAGGGACAUAAUCCCUGAGAAUGAGAGAGGUCUAACAGGAUACCAUCUGAACAAGCAUGUUGUUGUUUUGGAUAAUGUGCGUUUUCACCACACAGAUGUUGCCAGACUGUGGUUUGCAGCACAUAAUAGGAUUCUGGUGGAAUAUCUCCCUCCCUACUCACCAUUCCUGAAUCCAACAGAGGAGUUGUUCUCUUCCUGGAGGUGGAAGACCACAUGACCUUCUCCCAUUCCUCCUCUGGAUCAUCCAGAUGGUCAUUGGCAAACUUCAGACAUGCCUGGACAUGCAGUGGCUUGAACAGGGGGAUUUAACAGUUUUUUCUGAUGGCUGUAGAUGUAGUGAUUGUAUGAGUUAGUGAACUGUUAUAAGCUGUUGUAACCAAUGAAUCAAAAUAUUAAAUGUUUGUAAUAUGAGCUGAAACUGAAGGAGCAAGUAGGAGAAUAGGAAACCCUGUUUAAGCAGUUGCCGGCGAGAGAAAGAUUUAGUAUGUCUGUCUUUUAAGAAACAGGACACAGGUUAGAGACACACACACAUAGUCUGACAGGCCAGACAGAAACCAGGAGGGGACAAGAAGAUGUUUGCGUUUAUCCUUAUAAGGAAUAGAACUGGAACUGGACCAAUAGCACACUUGUUUUGUGAAUUUAACGACUCUAUCUUUUGGGCGUAGUAGAAGUAUAAAAUGAUCUGUUGAAUGUUGAUCCUUAGACAUUGUGCGGCGACACUUGUCUCCAAAAGCUUUUGUAAUAAACGGAAUAUGCGGUAUGAUAAUUGACCUGACUCCUGG